UGGGGAAUCUUGGACAAUGGGCGAAAGCCUGACGCAGCAACGCCGCGUGAGUGAUGAAGGCCUUCGGGUCGUAAAGCUCUGUCGGAGGGAACGAAUGCUCCAGGGGUUAACAGCCUCCGGAGGUGACGGUACCCUCAAAGGAAGCACCGGCUAACUCUGUGCCAGCAGCCGCGGUAAUACAGAGGGUGCAAGCGUUGUUCGGAAUCAUUGGGCGUAAAGGGCGUGUAGGCGGUAUGUUAAGUCAUGUGUGAAAUCCCUCGACUCAACCGGGGAACGACGCAUGAAACUGGCAAGCUAGAGUACCAAAGAGGGUGGUGGAAUUCCCGGUGUAGCGGCGAAAUGCGUAGAUAUCGGGAGGAACACCUGUGGCGAAGGCGGCCACCUGGU
rnacentral:rRNA from 1 species